AACGCACCUUGCGCCACGUGGUAUUCCACGGGGCACGCCUGUUUGAGUGUCACGUAAACCCAUCGCGUCGCGGAUUGUCAUGAUCUGCGGGGCGGAUUUGGACGCUGCCGGUCGUUCGGCUCGUCUCGAAAUGCAUUAGCUGUCUGAAGACGCGCGCCGUUGGUGUGAUAAUUCAUUUUACGCCGUUGGUUAGUGUCUAAAGUAAGCUCAUAAUCGUCCGCAAGGACACUUUUUAAUGCUCUGGCCUCAAAUCAGGUGGGACUACCCGCUGAACUUAA
rnacentral:misc_RNA from 1 species